rnacentral:lncRNA from 1 species
UUCUCUUUUGCUCCUUUGCAGUUAAACAACAAACAACAAACUGAUCUGGAUGAUUUUACUUUAAAAAUAUUUUAAAGAUUGUUGAAAGAUUUAAAAAAAAUUGACAAUAGUAUGGGUGAUGAAAUUAUGCUAAUUCAAAAGGAUUAGAACCCAGUUUUAUCCCCAAAAUAAACAAAAUAGUGCUGAAAAUGUUGAUAACCUGUGAGUUUUGGAUUGUUGUUCAGAGUUAUUUCUUUAACAAAGAAUAAAAAAAAAAAUCAGUUCGCCAGAUAAAUCUCUAGGUUAAAGAAAACAACUUUAAUUGUUAGUGUAGUUAAUCAAAUGACCAGUAGUCGGUGCUAUCACCGUGAAAUCAAUAUUUAUUGACCGCCUCUUUUAGGCGAAGAAGAUAAUGAUGCUGCUGCUUCUGUUGUUCAGCUAGCGGUAAUAGACACGGCGUAAGUGACAUUAACCUGUCAGUACAAGUCAGCUACAGGAAACAUGGAUUUGGUCAAAAACAGAACUUUGCACCCACAUCUCCGCGAUGACGAGGCUCUGGUGGUGGAAAACGCCAUCCGUCUGGCCAUAGACUCUGUGAUAAACGUUUUGUACGGCGUAAACAGCGCCAAGAAUUACGAGUAUGAGCGGAUGGUGGCCGACAGGGACAAAGAGAUCCAGCGCCUGGAGUGCAGACUGACAGAGAUGGAGCACGAGCUGCAGGUGCUGCGCCGGCAGGGAUGCAUUUGCGGGCUGUUAAAGAACGAGCACAGCCUCGGCAGGUCCCGGAGCUCCGGUGACCGGCAGAAGGGAGUUCAGAGCGGCUUUGAUCCGGGAUGCGUUGACACCGAGCUGACAGCGGAGCAGCAGGACUGUGAGACGAGUUUAUCGUUGGGUCUUUUCGCAAGACCCCCCUCACACGUUUCCUCCCACAGCCAGGAGUCAGCUCUUCCAUCUUCCCCCAGCAGAAUGGUCCUGGAGCACACCUGCACCUCCCGCUCCUCCGAGGUUUCGGGUGUAACGGAGGCCGCCAGAAAUAUGCCGACAUCUCCCAGCAGCCUCGUGGUCAAAGAAGAGCCAUGUGACGUCGACACGGUCUUAAUCAAGUGGGAAAUGAGUGAACAUCAGCAGAGCACGGGCAGUCCGUGUCAGGACAAAGAGAGUCUCAGUGCAAAAAAAAAAAUGGAGACUGGAGAAGGAAGGACGUUCAGGGAGAAACCACAGGCAGACCCGGGUGGAGUCGUAAUGACUGAGGCAGAGCACACGAGGAACAAGAAGAAGAGCGUGCCAAUGUCGGAGCUGCCAGAGGAAGCUCAGAGACUGAAGAGGGCAGCCUGGAGAGCAGCUUCCAGACGAUAUUAUGCUCGAAAGAUAGCUCGCCAGCAGGCAAACCCAUCACAAUCCAGCCCCUUCCCCCACAUCGCAAACUCUCAGAAUUCACAGCCCAGCUCUUUUGUGGAUAAGAGGAGGAGGACACUGAUAUCGGAGCUACCUGAAGAGUCUCAGACGCUGCAGAGAGAAGCUUGGAGAGCCGCAUCCAGGAGGUACUACGCUAGAAAAAUCGCUCGGCACCAGACGGAGACAACACAGUACAGAAACCUGCUGGAGAACAUAAACCCAUCUGGAGACACGCAGGGACCCAACAGGGAAGGACCUCACAUGAACACUGGAGGAAUAAUGUGCAGCUGAUAGACAGAAGUUUUACAUUUUAAAUGUUUCUGUUCAGCAGAUUGGAGGGUCCUUUUUACUGCGGUAUGAAGAAUAAUGAAAUCUGACUGUUUGUGUUUUGGUGGCUUUGAAUUAAUAAUGAUGGGAAUUGUCUCAGGUCUGAAUAACAUGAACCUGGUGUUUCAAAUGAGUCAUCUGUGCAUUUCCUCAGUUCAUGACCUCUUGAUGAUGUGUUAGGCAGCAGGUUUAAUCAGAAUCCUAGUACUAGUACCAGCAAAAUUGAACCUUUCACAUAUCACACAUUUCAAAAAUAUAUCAAACUAAAAAAAGAAAUAUUGGGAGAAAUUGUCUUGAUGUUCUUUAAAAAUUAAAAGUUGAUCUCGCUCCUGUCAUCCUUCUGUCUCCAGGAAUUUUUGGUGGAGUCAUCCAGUGUCAGACUGUUUUUGAAGUUAACCUUCAUGAGAUCAACUCUACAUUCUGAUUUGUCUCCCUUCAUGUCAGCAAUAUUUGCAUGUACAAAACUUUUACUGGAAAAGAGCCUGAAUAAAUGUAUCAUGAGGCAAUAUGCAUAAAUCCAUGGCACUAACUAACAUGGCAGUACAGCGCCCCUGGAGAGUAACAUCUGUAACUACAGCGUGAGUGCAUCCAUAGUGGCUACAUUUUUAGCUCAACAUCUUUGAUUUCAGUGUCGGGUAAAGAAUUAUUAUUUCAGACAAUGCUGGUAAACUUUAAAGUGUAUUUUUGGACUUUGUCACAUAUUAAAAACUGUCUUUCCCCUUCCCGUUGAAAUGAACUCCCAUCAGUUUCUGGGUUACACUUCAGUAUUUGAAGCCAGCAAGCAGGGUGAACACAGAAAUGUUAAAAUAUCUCAUUUUGCAGUAAAUGUGUACAAUAAAACAAAGUGACAACGUUUCCUUUUUUUUGUAUUUAUUUAUUCUGCAAUAUUAAACACAUUCGCAGUCAAUAUGGCUGUCUGGUGUCCCAAAGUAUACAGCACACAGAGCUGCAGUAAAGCAGCUUGUUUGAUCUAGAAAAUAAGAAUGAGAACUAUAAGAACUAUACAUGAAUAUCUUUCGGUGUUCUGUAGUCGAGUCUUUGCCCUGGGGCUUCAAUAUUGUGGCUUUCAACGUGUCAACAAGGCGCUCCUCCUGCCCCCCAGCUUAAAAAAACACAAAACGAGGUCUUGCAACAGAGGUUUGUCACCGCGGAGCGUAAAUAUUACGCACAGCUGAUCUUGCACGAAUGCGGUUACUACAGUAUAGUAUAUGUCUGUGUGUAUUCAUCACACAGUCUGAAAUGUGAGCCGACUGACAGCUGCGGUGGCAACUGUUCACUGAGGACAGGCGUGCGUCCGGCUGCAGUUCCGCCUGCAGCUGCGGUGCUGAAUAAAGGCUGUACUAUGGCAAUGGCUUGCCAUACUGUACUGGCUCACAGACGCGCUACUGUACCACCAACACGCCCUGAGCGUCGAUGCGGACCGUUUUCCUAGCAGAUAACUGAAGGCUUUGUCGUUUCUAGUGAACAGUCGGCUUUUAUCUCUAUUUUUCACCCACUUCACAGCGCGGGGAGGACAGGGCUUCUCUUGUGCUGCUGCCUGAGGCUGGAUGUCUCAGUGAGAGGAUGCGGGGUCUCUAACCCACUCGCGGCUUGCUCAGGUCUGGACAUGCUGGGAGGCAAACGCCCAUCCUAACUGUGGCUGUGUGUUGUUCUAAAAAGCGACGUAGAGAACAGCCGGGUUAAAUGAGGAACAGGUCUGUGCUUUAACGCUGUGUCGUGCUGGUCGCUGCCAGCAGGAUUUGCAUGAGGUUUAUUUUGGGGGAAACAGCUUCAACCGUCGGCGCAGCAGGCUGGUCCUCACACCAAAGGAUUCACCGGAUUUGGCUGCACGUUUUUUGUGCUAAAAGUUCACAUUUAUUCUUAUUUAAGGCCGCAUGAAAGACCAAAUCAUAACUAUACACGAUUACUCUGGCGCACUGAAUGGGAGCGCCUAUAGUUCAGGUUUUUGUCUGUUGGUCAGACAAGCGCUCAUCUAAAUUUAAAAACAUGUUCUACGGUGCUGUGAGUAAUAACAAAUGUAUUUUUCAAUAAAUUAUGUAUUUAAAUAAGUUAGAUUAAUAAACUAUUGUCGGCAGUGCCAUUGCGCAUUUUGGAGCAUCUUUCUCAAUGCCCUUCACUUUUUAGUAGACUUUAAAUUGGACAUUUUUAAAAUGUAACUUUUAAUUUGUAUGUACAUUUGGCAUAUUUGGUUAUAUUUAGGAUUAUAAUUACCUUUUACGCUGGAUACAAUUUUUUUUUAUACUCCUGUGGCCUCUUGAGAGCUCCCUGAGCAUUUGGAUACACCUGUGCACUUUUGGAGAUGUCCAUUUGGAUUCGCGGCUCACUUUUGGCUUUGUUGGAUUUUAUUCACGUGAAAAUAUUUUUCUUCGGAUUCUUUUGAUCUAGUCCAUAAGAAAAGGGUCCGUUUUACCAAUUGAUCCCACCAAUGGAGUCUGUGCAGCCUUUCAGAGAUGCUCCAUGUCUUGGCAAACGCACAAAAAGCAGCAGCAAGUUCCUAAGAGUUCAGUUGCGCACUCACGGACAAUCCCUUUUCAGUAUUAACUGUAUGACUACUGGAUGGACCAAAAUAAGUUGAAACCAUAGGGGUAGAACAGUAUAUUUCUGAGGAGGGGGCUUUACCUUUUAAUACCAUUUUUUAAAUCAUUUUAUAAUGGGAUAUUGGAGGUUAUGUUUAUUUAGGGCCCAAAGGGCCAUUUUUAGAUUUGGGGGACAUUCUGGGCUUUUUAGAAAUGAUUUUGUCAAAUUUGUUCACCCCUACAUGAGCUACAGACAUGGAAGUGUCCUUUUUGCAGGGAUUGCUGGGAAGAAGAAGGAGGCUGUCGAGGUUGGGACUUUGGAGAGGGAGGUAUAGUUAGAGCCACUGUCUGAAAG